AGAGUUUGAUCCUGGCUCAGGAUGAACGCUGGCGGCGUGCCUAAUACAUGGCAAGUCGAGCGAACCACUUCGGUGGUGAGCGGCGAACGGGUGAGUAACACGUAGGUGAUCUGCCCAUCAGACGGGGACAACGAUUGGAAACGAUCGCUAAUACCGGAUAGGACGAAAGUUUAAAGGUGCUUCUGGCACCGCUGAUGGAUGAGCCUGCGGCGCAUUAGCUAGUUGGUAGGGUAAAGGGCCUACCAAGGCGACGAUGCGUAGCCGACCUGAGAGGGUGAACGGCCACACUGGGACUGAGACACGGCCCAGACUCCUACGGGAGGCAGCAGUAGGGAAUCUUCGGCAAUGGGCGAAAGCCUGACCGAGCAACGCCGCGUGAAUGAUGAAGGCUUCGGGUUGUAAAAUUCUGUUAUAAGGGAAGAACGACUUUAGUAGGAAAUGGCUAGAGUGUGACGGUACCUUAUGAGAAAGCCACGGCUAACUACGUG
rnacentral:rRNA from 1 species